rnacentral:rRNA from 1 species
CCUACGGGGGGCUGCAGUGGGGAAUAUUGCACAAUGGGCGCAAGCCUGAUGCAGCCAUGCCGCGUGUGUGAAGAAGGCCUUCGGGUUGUAAAGCACUUUCAGCGGGGAGGAAGGCGGUGAGGUUAAUAACCUCAUCGAUUGACGUUACCGGCAGAAGAAGCACCGGCUAACUCCGUGCCAGCAGCCGCGGUAAUACGGAGGGUGCAAGCGUUAAUCGGAAUUACUGGGCGUAAAGCGCACGCAGGCGGUCUGUCAAGUCGGAUGCGAAAUCCCCGGGCUCAACCUGGGAACUGCAUUCGAAACUGGCAGGCUAGAGUCUUGUAGAGGGGGGUAGAAUUCCAGGUGUAGCGGUGAGAUGCGUAGAGAUCGGGAGGAAUACCGGUGGCGAAGGCGGCCCCCUGGACAAAGACUGACGCUCAGGUGCGAAAGCGUGGGGAGCAAACAGGAUUAGAUACCCGAGUAGUC